GCCACUUGGCGACAAGGAGCGGAACCCGAAAACCUGUCUCAGUUCGGAUUGGAGUCUGCAACUCGACUCCUUGAAGCUGGAUUCGCUAGUAAUCGCGCAUCAGCCACGGCGCGGUGAAUACGUUCCCGGGCCUUGUACACACCGCCCGUCAAGCCAUGGAAGCCGGGAGUGCCUGAAGUGCGUGACCGCAAGGAACGCCCUAGGGUAAAACCGGUGACUGGGGCUAAGUCGUAACAAGGUAAC
rnacentral:rRNA from 1 species